rnacentral:rRNA from 1 species
CCUACGGUAGGCAGCAGUGGGGAAUAUUGCACAAUGGGCGCAAGCCUGAUGCAGCCAUGCCUCGUGUAUGAAGAAGGCCUUCGGGUUGUAAAGUACUUUCAGCGGGGAGGAAGGGAGUAAAGUUAAUACCUUUGCUCAUUGACGUUACCCGCAGAAGAAGCACCGGCUAACUCCGUGCCAUCAGCCGCUGUAAUACGGAGGGUGCAAGCGUUAAUCGUAAUUACUGGGCGUAAAGCGCACGCAGGCGGUUGGUUACGUCAGAUGUGAAUUCCCCGGGCUCAACCUGGGAACUGCAUCUGAUACUGGCAAGCGUGAGGCUCGUAGAGGGGGGUAGGAUUCCAGGUGUAGCGGGGAAAUGCGUAGAGAUCUGGAGGAAUACCGGUGGCGAAGGCGGCCCCCUGGACGAAGACUGACGCUCAGGUGCGAAAGCGUGGGGAGCAAACAGGAUUAGAUACCCUGGUAGUC